rnacentral:rRNA from 1 species
AUUGAACGCUGGCGGCAGGCCUAACACAUGCAAGUCGAACGAGUGGCGGACGUGUGAGUAAUGUCUGGGAAACUGCCUGAUGGAGGGGGAUAACUACUGGAAACGGUAGCUAAUACCGCAUACCAUCGGAUGUGCCCAGAUGGGAUUAGCUAGUAGGUGGGGUAAAGGCUCACCUAGGCGACGAUCCCUAGCUGGUCUGCGGGGUUGACCAGCCAAACUGUAACGUAGACACGGUCCAGACCCCUACGGGAGGCAGCAGGGGGGAAUAUUGCACAAUGGGCGAAAGCCUGAUGCAGCCAGGCCGCGUGUAUGAAGAAGGCCUUCGGGUUGUAAAGUACUUUCAGCGGGGAGGCGUUACCCGCAGAAGAAGCACCGGCUAACUCCGUGCCAGAGCCGCGGUAAUAC